UUCGUAGGCGGUGUGGCAAGUCGGGAGUGAAAUCUCUGGGCUCAACCCAGAGGCUGCUUCCGAAACUGCUGUGCUUGAGUGUGAGAGAGGCUCGUGGAAUUGCAGGUGUAGUGGUGAAAUGCGUAGAUAUCUGCAGGAACACCCGUGGCGAAAGCGGCGAGCUGGAUCACUACUGACGCUGAGGAACGAAAGCUAGGGGAGCAAACAGGAUUAGAUACCCUGGUAGUCCUAGCCCUAAACGAUCAGGACUUGGGGUGCCGCCCGUUCGGGCGUCGUCCCGGAGCUAACGCGUUAAGUCCUGCACCUGGGGAGUACGGUCGCAAGACUGAA
rnacentral:rRNA from 1 species